CAGGUUUUGAGCAAACAAUUAAGCUCAUCAGAGAAGGAAAUCCAUCUCCAGCUGUGUUAAACCACAAUGCAUAUCUACGUGCUACGUGUUUUAAAAAGGAAAAGGAUAAAAUACAGUGAUUCCAUGGAACUAUUUGCUAGACAGCAGAUGAACCUUCUGCUCUGCACAUCAUGGACCUGAUCCAAACCCUAUUGAAGUCAACGGAAAGACUCUGCUCAGUGAGGCAAGGACUCCUGUGGUGCACAAUCCUGAACCGCCAAUGACAGACUUGUAUUCUCCUUUUCAUAUAGUAUGCAAGUGUGCAGAUCAUUGUCUCAUUCCAUGCAUCCUCUUACAGAUCACAUUUCACAUGCACCUACGUGGUAAAGGUGAAACUCCACUUAGCUUACCUACUCGUGCGUAUGCAGUGUCAAUGAAACACUGGCAGAUUGUACGCAAUUUGUAACACAGAACCAAGUUUGUUUGGACAAUAUACACUACUGGUAUGUCAUUAUUAAUAUUUACACGGUGCCUUUCCUAUGGAAAUACUGAAGCAUGCUACAAAGAAUCCCAGUGGGUUGUACCAAGUUGGACAAGAAUCAUCCUGUUUUAUGAUGGGAAACUGAGGAAUAGAGACAUUAAAUGAGUUGCUCAGAGUGACACAGUGUCACCAGCCUUCACUGCUGCAUAAUCACAUCCUCCCAGUUGGAGGACCCGGGAUGCAACCUGGAUGGUGGACAGCGUUUCAGCGUAAUUCCCUGCCGCUGCCGAAAUGU